GGUUGACCUCGGAUCAGGUAGGGAUACCCGCUGAACUUAAGCAUAUCAAUAAGCGGAGGAAAAGAAACCAACCGGGAUUGCCUCAGUAACGGCGAGUGAAGCGGCAAGAGCUCAAAUUUGAAAGCUGGCCCCUCCGGGGUCCGCGUUGUAAUUUGCAGAGGAUGCUUCGGGCUCAGCCCCCGUCUAAGUGCCCUGGAACGGGCCGUCGGAGAGGGUGAGAAUCCCGUCUGGGACGGGGUGCCUGGGUCCAUGUGAAGCUCCUUCGACGAGUCGAGUUGUUUGGGAAUGCAGCUCUAAAUGGGUGGUAAAUUUCAUCUAAAGCUAAAUACUGGCCGGAGACCGAUAGCGCACAAGUAGAGUGAUCGAAAGAUGAAAAGCACUUUGAAAAGAGAGUUAAACAGCACGUGAAAUUGUUGAAAGGGAAGCGCUUGCGAUCAGACUCGCCUGCGGGGUUCAGCCGGCAUUCGUGCCGGUGUACUUCCCCGUGGGCGGGCCAGCGUCGGUUCGGGUGGCCGGUCAAAGGCCCCGGGAAUGUGUCGCCCUCCGGGGCGUCUUAUAGCCCGGGGUGCCAUGCGGCCUACCUGGACCGAGGAACGCGCUUCGGCUCGGACGCUGGCGUAAUGGUCGUAAGCGACC
rnacentral:rRNA from 1 species